rnacentral:tRNA from 1 species
GGACCCUUAGCUCAGUUGGUUAGAAUACCGGCUCAUAACCGGUUGGUCGUAGGUUCGAGUCCGAUAGGGUCCACCA